UUGGCCGAGGAAACCAGAACAGAAGCAGAGCAGACGUGCCAGCCACAUGCAGACGCAGCAUCCCUCCGCGGCCUGGAAAGAGGCGCUGACGUCACUCGAGCUCACC
rnacentral:miRNA from 1 species